CCUACGGGAGGCAGCAGUGAGGAAUAUUGGUCAAUGGUCGGGAGACUGAACCAGCCAAGCCGCGUGAGGGAUGAAGGUACAGAGUAUCGUAAACCUCUUUUGUCAGGGAACAAAGGCGGGGACGCGUCCCCGGAUGAGUGUACCUGAAGAAAAAGCAUAGGCUAACUCCGUGCCAGCAUCCGCGGUAAUACGGAGGAUGCGAGCGUUAUCCGGAUUUGUUGGGUUUAAAGGGUGCGCAGGAGGUUUGUUAAGUCAGCGGUCAAAGCCCGGGGCUCAAACCCGGCCCGCCGUUGAAACUGGCAGUCUCGAGUUGGAGAGAAGUAUGCGGAAUGCGCGGUGUAGCGGUGAAAUGCAGAGAUAUCGCGCAGAACUCCGAUUGCGAAGGCAGCAUGCCGGCUCCACACUGACGCUGAGGCACGAAAGCGUGGGUAUCGAACAGGAUUAGAUACCCUGGUAGUC
rnacentral:rRNA from 1 species